GGGGAUGACUUGAAUCGUCAAGGAACGUAUCGAUAAGAAUUCGAAGCUGAGGUAUACCACAAACUCAUUAAACUGGUUACAAAUAGUAAGUGCAAACUUAUUUAACGCUAAACCAGCGUUUGCCGUAGCUUAAAAUCUAUCGGCCAUCGCCCUGUUUUCGCCCGAGAAGACAGUGUGCGGUGUUAACCCUUUCGGGCUGCUGUCUAAUGAAGGCGAACUUUAGACCUAAGAUAAUCGCCAAAAGUUUAACUUUUUUCACCAUUCUUUAAGCCCAGUAACGCAUACGAAUGUACGUUAACUGGGUAAGGGUUAAACUUAAACCAAGAAUGGUUAGGCUUCGUAGCAGUUCAAUCGAGAAAUUUUUUGCACGCGGGUUCAAUUCCCGCCAUCUCCACUU
rnacentral:tmRNA from 1 species